GUGUUGGUGGAGGAUUCCCUUACCCCUUUGAACCUUGAACUGUUGACGGGAACCGGCAGUUUAGCCCAGGGAUAAGGUCUGGUUCAAUCCACCAUUUUUUUUCAAAAAAGAAAUUUUGAAAAAUUAUUUCAAAUGUUGGUGCCUUAACCCGAAUCAAACCGGAGCCAGAACUGUGGUGAACUGGCCCCCUUGGACUGUUUCAGUUUUGGUUCAGCCACGAACUGGAACCACCAAUUCUGACCAUGAUCCGGACUGGAACCGGCCCCUGGCAAACCGGCCCCUGGCAAUGUCUGUGUAGGGAUAUUCAUUUUUCAGAA
rnacentral:misc_RNA from 1 species